AGAGUUUGAUCAUGGCUCAGAUUGAACGCUGGCGGCAGGCCUAACACAUGCAAGUCGAGCGGUAGCACAGAGAGCUUGCUCUCGGGUGACGAGCGGCGGACGGGUGAGUAAUGUCUGGGAAACUGCCUGAUGGAGGGGGAUAACUACUGGAAACGGUAGCUAAUACCGCAUAACGUCGCAAGACCAAAGUGGGGGACCUUCGGGCCUCAUGCCAUCAGAUGUGCCCAGAUGGGAUUAGCUAGUAGGUGGGGUAAUGGCUCACCUAGGCGACGAUCCCUAGCUGGUCUGAGAGGAUGACCAGCCACACUGGAACUGAGACACGGUCCAGACUCCUACGGGAGGCAGCAGUGGGGAAUAUUGCACAAUGGGCGCAAGCCUGAUGCAGCCAUGCCGCGUGUAUGAAGAAGGCCUUCGGGUUGUAAAGUACUUUCAGCGAGGAGGAAGGCAUUAAGGUUAAUAACCUUGAUGAUUGACGUUACUCGCAGAAGAAGCACCGGCUAACUCCGUGCCAGCAGCCGCGGUAAUACGGAGGGUGCAAGCGUUAAUCGGAAUUACUGGGCGUAAAGCGCACGCAGGCGGUCUGUCAAGUCGGAUGUGAAAUCCCCGGGCUCAACCUGGGAACUGCAUUCGAAACUGGCAGGCUAGAGUCUUGUAGAGGGGGGUAGAAUUCCAGGUGUAGCGGUGAAAUGCGUAGAGAUCUGGAGGAAUACCGGUGGCGAAGGCGGCCCCCUGGACAAAGACUGACGCUCAGGUGCGAAAGCGUGGGGAGCAAACAGGAUUAGAUACCCUGGUAGUCCACGCCGUAAACGAUGUCGACUUGGAGGUUGUGCCCUUGAGGCGUGGCUUCCGGAGCUAACGCGUUAAGUCGACCGCCUGGGGAGUACGGCCGCAAGGUUAAAACUCAAAUGAAUUGACGGGGGCCCGCACAAGCGGUGGAGCAUGUGGUUUAAUUCGAUGCAACGCGAAGAACCUUACCUACUCUUGACAUCCAGAGAACUUAGCAGAGAUGCUUUGGUGCCUUCGGGAACUCUGAGACAGGUGCUGCAUGGCUGUCGUCAGCUCGUGUUGUGAAAUGUUGGGUUAAGUCCCGCAACGAGCGCAACCCUUAUCCUUUGUUGCCAGCGGUCCGGCCGGGAACUCAAAGGAGACUGCCAGUGAUAAACUGGAGGAAGGUGGGGAUGACGUCAAGUCAUCAUGGCCCUUACGAGUAGGGCUACACACGUGCUACAAUGGCAUAUACAAAGAGAAGCGACCUCGCGAGAGCAAGCGGACCUCAUAAAGUAUGUCGUAGUCCGGAUUGGAGUCUGCAACUCGACUCCAUGAAGUCGGAAUCGCUAGUAAUCGUAGAUCAGAAUGCUACGGUGAAUACGUUCCCGGGCCUUGUACACACCGCCCGUCACACCAUGGGAGUGGGUUGCAAAAGAAGUAGGUAGCUUAACCUUCGGGAGGGCGCUUACCACUUUGUGAUUCAUGACUGGGGUGAAGUCGUAACAAGGUAACCGUAGGGGAACCUGCGGUUG
rnacentral:rRNA from 1 species